GGACACAUGAACAUCGACAUUUCGAACGCACAUUGCGGUCCACGGAUCCGAUUCCCGGACCACGCCUGGCUGAGGGUC
rnacentral:rRNA from 1 species